CAAAGCCGCGAGGCAGAGCAAACCCCUAAAAGCCAUCCCAGUUCGGAUUGCAGGCUGCAACCCGCCUGUAUGAAGUUGGAAUCGCUAGUAAUCGCGGAUCAGCAUGCCGCGGUGAAUACGUUCCCGGGCCUUGUACACACCGCCCGUCACACCAUGAGAGUCGGGAACACCCGAAGUCCGUAGCCUAACCGCAAGGAGGGCGCGGCCGAAGGUGGGUUCGAUAAUUGGGGUGAAGUCGUAACAAGGUAGC
rnacentral:rRNA from 1 species